rnacentral:rRNA from 1 species
ACGGGUGAGGAAUACAUCGGAAUCUACUCUGUCGUGGGGGAUAACGUAGGGAAACUUACGCUAAUACCGCAUACGACCUACGGGUGAAAGUGGGGGACCGCAAGGCCUCACGCGAUUGAAUGAGCCGAUGUCGGAUUAGCUAGUUGGCGGGGUAAAGGCCCACCAAGGCGACGAUCCGUAGCUGGUCUGAGAGGAUGAUCAGCCACACUGGAACUGAGACACGGUCCAGACUCCUACGGGAGGCAGCAGUGGGGAAUAUUGGACAAUGGGCGCAAGCCUGAUCCAGCCAUACCGCGUGAGUGAAGAAGGCCCUCGGGUUGUAAAGCUCUUUUGUUGGAAAGAAAUCCUGUUGGCUAAUACCCGGCGGGGAUGACGGUACCCAAAGAAUAAGCACCGGCUAACUUCGUGCCAGCAGCCGCGGUAAUACGAAGGGUGCAAGCGUUACUCGGAAUUACUGGGCGUAAAGCGUGCGUAGGUGGUUGCUUAAGUCUGUCGUGAAAGCCCUGGGCUCAACCUGGGAAUUGCGAUGGAUACUGGGCGACUAGAGUGUGGUAGAGGGUGGCGGAAUUCCCGGUGUAGCAGUGAAAUGCGUAGAGAUCGGGAGGAACAUCCGUGGCGAAGGCGGCCACCUGGGCCAACACUGACACUGAGGCACGAAAGCGUGGGGAGCAAACAGGAUUAGAUACCCUGGUAGUCCACGCCCUAAACGAUGCGAACUGGAUGUUGGGUUCAACUUGGAACCCAGUAUCGAAGCUAACGCGUUAAGUUCGCCGCCUGGGGAGUACGGUC